rnacentral:lncRNA from 10 species
GCUAUAAAAAAAUUUUUUUAAAUGAGGCCAGUACAUAAAACACUGCAAUGAUUUCUUAGGAAUUUAAAAGAUACCUGACGCAGAGUAAACGUUCUACUAAAUAUUUGAUGAAUGAAAGAAAAGAGGAAAAUACAGCUUUACACUCAAGAAAGAAACAAAAGGAACAAGUUGCUUUUCCAUUUUUUUGCUAAACAACACUGAAAUGAGUGUACUUUUUACAUGUAUUUAGGAAUAAUUUUGCAAAGAUUUUCCUGGGAGAUGCAUGGUAAAGGAAUCACUACUGUUGAAGAUCGGCUAUGUAGUCAAAAGUCUGCCCCAAUGUAUGGUACCAAUUUUGACUUUUACCAGUAGUGUAAGUGAAUAGCUACUUCCCUACAUCCUCACCAAGACUGGACAUUAUAAAGUUUUAUAUUUUUGCUAAUAUGGAAGAUCAUUUUAUUUCUUAGCAGAAUAAGGUUUAGCACUGUUUUAUAUGCUUAUUGGGGACAUAAUUUUUUUUAAGAGUCUUUUUAUAUCUAUUGCUACACAAAUGGCCGAUGUUUUCCUUUGUUUUUAAUUAUUCAUAUUUUCUUCAUAGUACCCAUACGUUUUUGGUUUUAACAAAUGUCUAAAAAUUUAUUUAUGUUGGAAAUCUGUGUUUAAACUACUUCAAUUAUUUGGUUAGUAUGUGGUGUUCUUGAGGUAAAUAUCAUAGAUUUGAUAACAGUAUGUGGUAAUUUAUUUCACCUAGAAAAACUGGCUAGGGAAUAUACAACCACUUCCAGCCAUUCUGUAUGCAGGUGAAUCUUGGUUUCCCUGUGGGCAAUGAUGUAUGGAACUUACGAACAAUAUGGGCAGAUCAACAAACAGCACAUAAAGAACUAUUAUCCUCCAUUUACAGUUAAGUAAACUGAGGCCCUGGAAAAUGAGGCACUUUAGUUUUAAAAGCUGCUAAAGUCUAUUGCUACAUCAUGCAGCUAGCCUGGGCUCUGCUUUGCUUGUGUCAGUCAGCUCUGAAGAAGUCUCUGUCCUGUAAUUUAGACUGUAUGCCAUUAAGUGGGAUUAGUUCAGGGAAAUUCACAGGAAUAACAAAAGACAGAAAACAUGAGGAUGAUGGGCCCCACCCCAG